GAUCCUGGCUCAGAUUGAACGCUGGCGGCAUGCUUUACACAUGCAAGUCGAACGGCAGCAUAGAGAGCUUGCUCUCUGAUGGCGAGUGGCGAACGGGUGAGUAAUACAUCGGAACGUGUCCUGUUGUGGGGGAUAACUACUCGAAAGAGUAGCUAAUACCGCAUAAGACCUAAGGGUGAAAGCGGGGGACCUUCGGGCCUCGCGCAGUUGGAGCGGCCGAUUACUGAUUAGU
rnacentral:rRNA from 1 species